CUCAAAUGUCCAACACACAGCUGACCCUGAGUUCCCUAAUCCUGCCUUUGACCUGGCCCUGCUCAGCUCUUUGGAAUGUGGUGGGACUGCACCCUUCAUAGCUGGAAAAUGUUUUUCCUUAAAAGAAACAUCACCAGAAAAAUCUGGCUCUAAACCAAAGAACAGCUGUAAGUAACCUGAGAUGUGCUCAUUUUUCUCCAUUGUGCCCUCAGAGAACUUAAAAGUAAGGGAAUGGCAAUUUGCAGGAAUUUGGGAUUUGUUGCCAGUUGUGAUCUGAGUUUUCUGUGAUUGCUUAACCUUCCAACAGUGCUACAGACUGUAGAAAAAAUAAUGAUAGAAAUUAAGGUGGACCUUCAGGAUAUCUUUAUUAAGCAUACUUGUGAGAAUGGUUGCAGCAAAAUUGUUUGCAGCUGGCCACUGAUGUAUGGGUACUUCAGGAGCAAAGCCCAGAAGAUUUGAAAUACCCAUUCAGUAUGAGAGGGCUGGCAAUGGCAGCCAGGAGGUUCUUGUUUGGGAGUACAUGGCUUCAGUGUGUAAGGUGAUAAUGUCCUCCGUGAAAUUGGCCAGGUCUCUCAGCACUCUUGGAUGCAAGGACUUCUCUGGGUUCGGUUCUCACACAUAACCCACCACUGACUGUUCCUCUCCUUCAGUAUGCACAAAGGACUGGGAGAUCUUGUUGGUGAGGAUGCAAGAAAGACAUCGGAUAUCUCAGCCUUGGCUAGAGCAACAACAGACACAAACAUCUGCCCUGUUGAACAAUUAAGACCAUUUUCUCUUGUCAGCUUUUUUCUAUUAAUACAGCAUUAGAAGCUCUUUUUGUUGAUUAUGAUAGCCCUUGCAAGUGUCAACUUUAUGUGAGCUGUGGCUUUCCUUACAUUAUCCCUGAGCAUCUGGACAAUACUCCUUUGUAGCUUGUUCCAUUGUACUGCCUUUUUACACUGAAACUCAGUCACGAGCUUCCUGUUUAGUUAAACUGAUCUGGUAAUCUGUUCCUUUUCCUGAUUAUUGGCCUGGACCAUUUUAGAGCUAAAAUGAGAUUAUUCCAUAAGGCUUGUCAGCUUUUACAAGUUCCUUUUCCUUUCAGAGCUGGUUUUCACUGGACUACUCUAGUUCCUUGAAUAAGCUGAAUCCUUCUCUCAUAGGAAACCCAGGGUCUGUAGUCUGCUACUUGUCUUCCCUUCACUUGGGAUCCUGAACUCUUCUGUUUCAUGAUCAGUGCAGCCAAAGCUGCUAUUGAUUAACAUCUCCCCAGCCAGAUCCUCCUCAGUGACGAGUGGAUUUGCCUGUGUAUCACCUACAGUUGCCUAACCCAGUACUUACAUCAAGGAGUUAUCCCUACCAUGUCCCCAGGAAACUACUGAAUUGCCUGGAUUUAACUCUGUUGCCAUUACGGUAUAUUGCAGGAAAAAAUCCCUCUUAAAGGCAACAGUCUAUGAUCUAGAGACCUUCUUUAGUUGUUUACAGACUUCAUGCUUUCUUAACCUAAUUGGUAGUCUGCAACACAUCUCCUUGCACUGACAUCUUCUUUGAUCUGCAUUCAGAAGGAUGGGGAGAGUCUUUGAAAAACUAAUUAUCAGUAGAUUAAUUAAUUGUCAUAUGUAUUGUCUGAGAGUCUGUUUUUA
rnacentral:lncRNA from 1 species